CCUACGGGAGACAGCAGUGAGGAAUAUUGGACAAUGGACGAGAGUCUGAACCAGCCAAGUAGCGUGAAGGAUGACUGCCCUAUGGGUUGUAAACUUCUUUUAUAUGGGAAUAAAACGUUCCACGUGUGGGAUUUUGUAUGUACCAUAUGAAUAAGGAUCGGCUAACUCCGUGCCAGCAGCCGCGGUAAUACGGAGGAUCCGAGCGUUAUCCGGAUUUAUUGGGUUUAAAGGGAGCGUAGGUGGAUUGUUAAGUCAGUUGUGAAAGUUUGCGGCUCAACCGUAAAAUUGCAGUUGAAACUGGCAGUCUUGAGUACAGUAGAGGUGGGCGGAAUUCGUGGUGUAGCGGUGAAAUGCUUAGAUAUCACGAAGAACUCCGAUUGCGAAGGCAGUUCACUGGACUGCAACUGACACUGAGGCUCGAAAGUGUGGGUAUCAAACAGGAUUAGAUACCCGGGUAGUC
rnacentral:rRNA from 1 species